GCCAGGUGCAUUGGUGCACAUCUGUAGUCCCAGCUCCUUGAGAGGCUGAGGUAGGAGGAUUACUUGAGCCCAGGAGCCCAGGGGUCAGCCUGAGCAACAGAGCAAUACCGUAUU
rnacentral:sRNA from 1 species